rnacentral:rRNA from 1 species
GAUGAACGCUGGCGGCGUGCCUAAUACAUGCAAGUCGAGCGAACAGACGAGGAGCUUGCUCCUCUGACGUUAGCGGCGGACGGGUGAGUAACACGUGGAUAACCUACCUAUAAGACUGGGAUAACUUCGGGAAACCGGAGCUAAUACCGGAUAAUAUAUUGAACCGCAUGGUUCAAUAGUGAAAGACGGUUUUGCUGUCACUUAUAGAUGGAUCCGCGCCGCAUUAGCUAGUUGGUAAGGUAACGGCUUACCAAGGCAACGAUGCGUAGCCGACCUGAGAGGGGGAUCGGCCACACUGGAACUGAGACACGGUCCAGACUCCUACGGGAGGCAGCAGUAGGGAAUCUUCCGCAAUGGGCGAAAGCCUGACGGAGCAACGCCGCGUGAGUGAUGAAGGUCUUCGGAUCGUAAAACUCUGUUAUUAGGGAAGAACAAAUGUGUAAGUAACGAUGCACGUCUUGACGGUACCUAAGCAGAAAGCCACGGCUAACUACGU